AGUGAACGCUGGCGGUAGGCCUAACACAUGCAAGUCGAACGGCAGCACAGUAAGAGCUUGCUCUUACGGGUGGCGAGUGGCAGACGGGUGAGGAAUACAUCGGAAUCUACUUUUUCGUGGGGGAUAACGUAGGGAAACUUACGCUAAUACCGCAUACGACCUACGGGUGAAAGCAGGGGAUCUUCGGACCUUGCGCGAUUGAAUGAGCCGAUGUCGGAUUAGCUAGUUGGCGGGGUAAAGGCCCACCAAGGCGACGAUCCGUAGCUGGUCUGAGAGGAUGAUCAGCCACACUGGAACUGAGACACGGUCCAGACUCCUACGGGAGGCAGCAGUGGGGAAUAUUGGACAAUGGGCGCAAGCCUGAUCCAGCCAUACCGCGUGGGUGAAGAAGGCCUUCGGGUUGUAAAGCCCUUUUGUUGGGAAAGAAAAGCAGCAGGUUAAUACCCCGCUGUUCUGACGGUACCCAAAGAAUAAGCACCGGCUAACUUCGU
rnacentral:rRNA from 1 species